rnacentral:rRNA from 1 species
AUUGAACGCUGGCGGCAGGCCUAACACAUGCAAGUCGAGCGGAUGAAGGGAGCUUGCUCCUGGAUUCAGCGGCGGACGGGUGAGCAAUGCCUAGGAAUCUGCCUGGUAGUGGGGGAUAACGUCCGGAAACGGGCGCUAAUACCGCAUACGUCCUGAGGGAGAAAGUGGGGGAUCUUCGGACCUCACGCUAUCAGAUGAGCCUAGGUCGGAUUAGCUAGUUGGUGGGGUAAAGGCCUACCAAGGCGACGAUCCGUAACUGGUCUGAGAGGAUGAUCAGUCACACUGGAACUGAGACACGGUCCAGACUCCUACGGGAGGCAGCAGUGGGGAAUAUUGGACAAUGGGCGAAAGCCUGAUCCAGCCAUGCCGCGUGUGUGAAGAAGGUCUUCGGAUUGUAAGGCACUUUAAGUUGGGAGGAAGGGCAGUAAGUUAAUACCUUGCUGUUUUGACGUUACCAACAGAAUAAGCACCGGCUAACUUCGUG